rnacentral:rRNA from 1 species
UACGUAGGGUGCAGGCGUUUAAUCGGAAUUACUGGGCGUAAAGCGUGCGCAGGCGGUUUGCUAAGACAGGUGUGAAAUCCCCGGGCUUAACCUGGGAACUGCGCUUGUAACUGGCAAGCUGGAGUGUGGCAGAGGGGGGUGGAAUUCCACGUGUAGCAGUGAAAUGCGUAGAGAUGCGGAGGAACACCGAUGGCGAAGGCAGCCCCCUGGGCUAACACUGACGCUCAGGCACGAAAGCGUGGGGAGCAAACAGG